UCACAAACACCACAUCUGCCUGAACAGCUGCAGAUAAACCAGCAGUUCCUGGAAAAUCAACCAAAUCUGGCUAAAAGUUCCCCCAGAACCUCCUCAGAACAUCUGGUUCUUCAUCUCCAGUAACUUUAUCAAGGAUCAGAGUUCUACCUUCAUACUGGGAAUAUUUCCAGAGUUCCAGGUCCUUGAAGUCCAUAGAGGAGAACAUCUCCUGGAGAAACUUCUAGAGUAGACCUGUCUACUCUAGAACUUUCUCCAGCUGUCGGUAGGUCUACUCUAGAACUUUCUCCAGCUUUCGGUAGGUCUACUCUAGAGCUUUCUCCAGCUGUCUGUAGGUCUACUCUAGAGCUUUCUCCAGCUUUCGGUAGGUCUACUCUAGAACUUUCUCCAGCUGUCUGUAGGUCUGCUCUAGAACUUUCUCCAGCUGUCAGUAGGUCUACUCGAGAACUUUCUCCAGCUGUCAGUAGGUCUACUCUAGAACUUUCUCCAGCUUUCGGUAGGUCUGCUCUAGAACUUUCUCCAGCUGUCUGUAGGUCUGCUCUAGAACUUUCUCCAGCUGUCAGUAGGUCUACUCUAGAACUUUCUCCAGCUUUCGGUAGAUCUACUCUAGAACUUUCUCCAGCUGUCUGUAGGUCUACUCUAGAACUUUCUCCAGCUUUCGGUAGAUCUACUCUAGAACUUUCUCCAGCUGUCUGUAGCUCUGCUCUAGAAAUUUCUCCAGCUGUCAGUAGGUCUGCUCGAGAACUUUCUCCAGCUGUCUGUAGGUCUGCUCUAGAACUUUCUCCAGCUUUUGGUAGGUCUGCUCUAGAACUUUCUCCAGUUGUCGGUAGGUCUACUCUAGAACUUUCUCCAGGGGACGUUCUCCUUUCCUGCUUCCAGUCUUUCAGUUUAGUCUCACUUAGAACAUUCCAGGUCCUUGAAGUCCAUAGAGGUGGGUCCACAUUUAUCACUUUCUAAUGGCCUUUUUCCAUCAUUUUUGAGCCUCAGAACUUCAUCAGUCCAGCAGAUAGAACCAGGACAUUUAGGAGGAGAAGACAUAUGAGUUCUGGUAAAAACUGACACCAGAUCAGUUCAAAACCAUCCAGGUGUCUCAGUCUGAACCCUGGAUCUGAGUUCUGAUCAUUUCCUCUACAACCAGCUGUGAUCAUCAGUAUUAUGGGAUGUAUCCUGGUGUGAACAGUUUAGAGUCCUAGAGACAGUCAUUGGUUCUCUGGAUGUGUUUCUGUUUCUGAUAAUCCACCAGAUAAACUCUGAAAGGUCAUUGUGGGUAAACUUUAAUGUUGGUAGGUGGUUGGUCAGAACUGUUUAGGAUGAUGAAAAUGUAAAAUGUGAGAUUGUAUUUUGUGAAGGAAUAUCUCUGAUCACUCCUGCAGCAUCAUUUCUGCCCCGUAGAAAAGACCAGAGUUGAUUCUAACGUUCCACAUCAUCAGCGUUCACAAACAGGCCGACAGAUGGAACCAACAGAACAACUGACCUCUGUUUUCAUGGAACCACCUGCAUGUCUUCUAGGAGAAAAAAUAGAGCUUCUAGUUGUUGUUUCAAAAUUGCUCUUUGUUCCUUCAAC